GGAUGUGGCUCAGUGGUAGAGUGCUUGCCUAGCAUAUAUGAGUCCCUGGGUUCUAUCCCCAGCACCA
rnacentral:tRNA from 1 species